AUGUGCCCAAAACCCCAAAGGCUCUAUUCCAAACCAAAAAAAAAAAAAAGAGAGAGAGAGAGAGAGAGAGAGAGAGAGAUAUUGGUAGAAGCAUGGAGAAGGAGUGCAAGAGGAGAGAAGGGAUACAGCUCUGGAUGUAAGGGUAGAGCCUCUGAGCCCAUCCAGCACAAUGCUCCAGGACAGGCUUGUCCCCUGGAGAUGCCAGAGUUUAUGGAUGGGAGAUUUGCUAGGAAAGACCCUGUACCCAUCCUUUGCAUCUCUUUCUGGGGUACAAUUGACCCAAGCAGGCUACCACACAGUCCUUGGUGCCCCGAUGACUUCACAAUGGAAUUGAUGAAUCUUGUCACCUCAUCAUUGCACAGUAGACUACCUCUUCAAAGAAAAUCCAGUUUAAAGCCUGAUAUGGAAAUGAAUGGAAAUGGACUGUUCCAGUUGAGUACUGGGGUGGAGGUGGGACAUUCAUCUUCAUUCCCCUCCCUCACUUUUUCCUGCACAGAGAUUCUGUUUUAUACUAGUCCAAGUGUGGACUUGCUGAGCUUGUGGCCAUUUACUGACUAGUUCUCAUUGUGUCGUGCCUCAUCUGGAAAUCUUCUUUUCUCCUUUCUCUUCCACUUGAUCCCUGUGAAAAAUAUCUCCUCUUCCUUUGUAUUCAGUUCAGCAUCACCACCACCCUCACCCUCAACCCAUGCAAAGCCUGUGCUGACUCCUUAGGCAAAAAUCAAGAGACUGUUGAAUAUAAUUGCUUGGAUAUAUUCUUAUCUAUCCCAUUGACUGAGCUGCUGGAGACGAGUGAGAUGCAUUAUUUAUCUUUGCAUGUGGACCAUCAUGGGAGUUUCAUAAAUAUCUGGGGAACAAAGAAAACAAAAUUCAUAAACGUAAUCAUUAUUUUCCUCUCCAAAAACAUUAAUUAACACACAGGGCUCAAUCUGGAUAUUAAGGAUACUUGUCACCAUGCAGAUGUACAUGUAUUUGGAAAUGAAUAUAUGAUGUCUUUCUUUUUACAAAUAUAUUCUCAACUCACUGGAAUUGUGUUUGUGCAUAAAUAUUUAGGUGGCAUAAUCACAACUUUUUAAAGCAUGUAAUCUUCAUAUCAUUUAUUUUCUCUUUGUAUUUACCAUGCUUAGUAAAACUUUGCCUUCUGAAGCUGAAUGCUUUAUUCCUCUUCUAGGUUUCAUCCAUCCUUUGUUCUUGCGUAGUUAGGUUUAAAGAUUUGUAGAAACAUGGUGAUUCUGUGGUACGUGCAGAAUUCUCAGGAGAAUUCUAGCUGUAAAUGGGACAAAUGAGGACUAUGACUUUGACUCCAGUGGCCAGCAGUGACCCUCUGAGCACCAAAUGUACUGCACUGCACAUAGAUCCCAGAGCCAUGGUACCUGGAUUUUAGACCCGAUACAAAAGAGACUUCAUAAUAGCAAAUUUUGUUCAUUAAGCUAAAGUGCUUUAAGGUGAAUUCAUGGUAGAAACCUCAUUAAAGGCCAAUAAAGAAAGAAGC
rnacentral:lncRNA from 1 species